AUUGAACGCUGGCGGCAGGCUUAACACAUGCAAGUCGAACGAGCGGCGGACGGGUGAGUAAUGUCUGGGAAACUGCCUGAUGGAGGGGGAUAACUACUGGAAACGGUAGCUAAUACCGCAUACCAUCAGAUGUGCCCAGAUGGGAUUAGCUAGUUGGUGGGGUAAUGGCUCACCGAGGCGACGAUCCCUAGCUGGUCUGAGAGGAUGACCAGCCACACUGGAACUGAGACACGGUCCAGACUCCUACGGGAGGCAGCAGGGGGGAAUAUGGAACAAUGGGCGCAAGCCUGAUGCAGCCAUGCCGCGUGUGUGAAGAAGGCCUUCGGGUUGUAAAGCACUUUCAGCGGGGAGGCGUUACUCGCAGAAGAAGCACCGGCUAACUCCGUGCCAGCCGCCGCGGUAAUUC
rnacentral:rRNA from 1 species